GGACUUAUGGAGCAACAAAAUUUCAGCACUCGACGUGAAUAUCUUUCAAGGUUUGACGUCACUCGAGAUAUUGAACUUAUGGAGCAACAAAAUUUCAGCACUCGACGUGAAUAUCUUUCAAGGUUUGACGUCACUCGAGAUAUUGUGGCUGAGUGCCAAUCAAAUUGAAACGCUUGACGUAAAUCUCUUUAAUGGUUUGACGGCUCUGGGGACAUUGUAAGUAU